GACAGAGGCCUCAAGCGUUAGGCGGAAUCACUGGGCUUAAAGCGUGUGUAGGCGGGUCGUUAAGUACCUUGUGAAAUCCCACGGCUCACCCGUGGAACUGCUGGGUAUACUGGCGAUCUUGGGCCAUUCAGGGGCAACUGGAACAAGCGGUGGAGCGGUGAAAUGCGUAGAUAUCGGGAGGAACACCUGUGGCGAAAGCGGCUCACUGGACCAUAACUGACGCUGAUGCACGAAAGCUGGGGGAGCAAACAGG
rnacentral:rRNA from 1 species